rnacentral:rRNA from 1 species
CAGAUGUGCCCAGAUGGGAUUAGCUAGUAGGUGGGGUAACGGCUCACCUAGGCGACGAUCCCUAGCUGGUCUGAGAGGAUGACCAGCCACACUGGAACUGAGACACGGUCCAGACUCCUACGGGAGGCAGCAGUGGGGAAUAUUGCACAAUGGGCGCAAGCCUGAUGCAGCCAUGCCGCGUGUAUGAAGAAGGCCUUCGGGUUGUAAAGUACUUUCAGCGGGGAGGAAGGUGUUGAGGUUAAUAACCUCAGCAAUUGACGUUACCCGCAGAAGAAGCACCGGCUAACUCCGUGCCAGCAGCCGCGGUAAUACGGAGGGUGCAAGCGUUAAUCGGAAUUACUGGGCGUAAAGCGCACGCAGGCGGUCUGUCAAGUCGGAUGUGAAAUCCCCGGGCUCAACCUGGGAACUGCAUUCGAAACUGGCAGGCUAGAGUCUUGUAGAGGGGGGUAGAAUUCCAGGUGUAGCGGUGAAAUGCGUAGAGAUCUGGAGGAAUACCGGUGGCGAAGGCGGCCCCCUGGACAAAGACUGACGCUCAGGUGCGAAAGCGUGGGGAGCAAANAGGAAAAGAUACCCUGGUAGUCCACGCCGUAAACGAUGUCGACUUGGAGGUUGUGCCCUUGAGGCGUGGCUUCCGGAGCUAACGCGUUAAGUCGACCGCCUGGGGAGUACGGCCGCAAGGUUAAAACUCAAAUGAAUUGACGGGGGCCCGCACAAGCGGUGGAGCAUGUGGUUUAAUUCGAUGCAACGCGAAGAACCUUACCUACUCUUGACAUCCAGAGAACUUUCCAGAGAUGGAUUGGUGCCUUCGGGAACUCUGAGACAGGUGCUGCAUGGCUGUCGUCAGCUCGUGUUGUGAAAUGUUGGGUUAAGUCCCGCAACGAGCGCAACCCUUAUCCUUUGUUGCCAGCGGUCCGGCCGGGAACUCAAAGGAGACUGCCAGUGAUAAACUGGAGGAAGGUGGGGAUGACGUCAAGUCAUCAUGGGCCCUUACGAGUAGGGCUACACACGUGCUACAAUGGCGCAUACAAAGAGAAGCGACCCUCGCGAGAGCAAGCGGACCUCAUAAAGUGCGUCGUAGUCCGGAUUGGAGUCUGCAACUCGACUCCAUGAAGUCGGAAUCGCUAGUAAUCGUAGAUC